rfam:Drosophila busckii chromosome 3R sequence.
GUACUGCUGUUUUUAGUGGGUGAGGGUCCAGUGUUUCACAUUGUUGUUUAAGUAAUUGUGACUAGAUCCACACUCAUUAAAAACGGUAAUUC